GGCGGCAUAGCCAAGUGGUAAGGCACAGGUCUGCAACACCUCUACCACCGGUUCAAAUCCGGUUGCCGCCUCCA
rnacentral:tRNA from 16 species